AAACCUCGAUCGACGAUCGUAUGGGGUUGGGGGGGGGGGGUUCCAGAGCCGCUUCAAAAGCUUCGGAUGCACUUUCCCUGGCUCUGCGGGUUACGUAAAGCUUACAGGCAGGCUGGCUGGCAGGCAGAUUCGAUUUCGAAAGUCUCGGCCGACUGCGUUUCGAGGUGAUCCAAUCUGGUACAAUCCAAACCGACUGAAAGACAUGUCGCUGCAUUUUGCGUACGCUUUUAAAGUUUGCAACGCGUGGCCAUAGAUACCUUCCUCCCCGUUUUAUUACAAGUUGUAUGCCGCUUUAUAACUGCGUUCGUUUCGAUGUUAUAUUUAGUUGUUAAAAUUAAAAGCGUAAUUGGCUUGUACACUUAACCAUAGUAGAGAAUAUUAUCAAAGAUUUACCGUCGUUAUUAGUAAUGUAGCAAAUAAAGAAAAACUUAAACAAAAACUGGCAAAUGUUUUGCUUAAACGUUUUAACACUAACAAGUUUGCUAAUGAUGAUGAUGGUGAUUAGAACUGUGUGAUUCGAUUCUAUUGUUUGAUUUUCCGAAGUGGCUGAUGGCUGUUUAUUUUAGUGGCUGGCUCUAUUGCAGUUGGUAUAUAAUCCAAAGUGUGUUGAAGACGUCGUAUGCGCGGACUCCGAUCCUGAAUAGAAUUUUGACUAAAAUGCUGUGUGAUUUCCAACGUUGGCUGUAUAUUUUUGGCUGGGUUUUUUUAUAUAUAUUUUUGUGUAUUUCCGAAAGGUGUUGUUGGUCAGAGUUUCCUUAACCGUUUGUGUAUAAAGUUCCAGAUUUGUGGUUGCAAUAUUUUCGCAUGGUCGUUUGCGCGUCCGCGAUACUUGCGAGUGGAGU